UACGUAGGUGACAAGCGUUAUCCGGAAUUAUUGGGCGUAAAGCGCACGCAAGCGGUUGGACAAGUCCGGCGUGAAAUCUCCCAGCUUAACUGGGAGCGGUCGCGGGAAACUGUUCGACUUGAGGCGAUGAGAGGGGUGCAGAAUUCCCGGUGUAGUGGUGGAAUGCGUAGAUAUCGGGAGGAAUACCAGUGGCGAAAGCGGCACCCUGGCGUCGUGCUGACGCACAUGUGCGAAAGCGUGGGGAGCGAACGGG
rnacentral:rRNA from 1 species